ACUACAGACUCAAUGAUCCCUGACAUUCAAGCGGGUCUGGAAAAAGCAGCGACACUGAUGAUGGCGGCUCUGGCAGGAAUAAAUCUCAUCUACUCAUUUG
rfam:Hadesarchaea archaeon YNP_45 contig_124_1534, whole genome shotgun sequence.